UCCUCAGAUCUUAGUCUCCUGAGUAGCUAGGAUGACAGACCUGAGGCACCGGCGCCAGCCCCAAUGGGAGCUUUUACAGAUUCUGGACCUAGCUUUCUGUUCAGACCUGUGCACAGUCUCCUGCACCUGAGAGCUAAAUAGCAGUUAGAUAAAAGAAUGAAUCCUGCAUAUUUGUCACAGUCCUUUGCAGAUGGAGGUUUAUGCUCUGUAUACAUAGAGCAGGAAUUAGAAGAUUUUUCUUUCUUUUUCUUUUUUUCUUAAUUUGCAAAGCUAUAACACUGUUUAUCUGGGAGGAAAGGGGAUAAAUCACUACAGAAAUGGAAAGACAAGCAGAUAUCUUUCCUCUUCUGCUUUUUAGUAGUCAUUCUCAAGCUGUGUCUGUUUGAUUAGUGUUUUAAAGGCAGACAUCUAAAUACAUGAGUCCAUUUGACUACACAGAUCCCAGAAGCCACUUUCACUCUGUGUCAAGAAUAAAGUCUUCUUUGAUGGCAACCUGACCUUUUAACUGCGGUCAGUACAAGUUGGCAUGACCCGGCAGCUUUCUCAGCUCUGGAGGCUGCUCUGUCUGAAGGCAGACAAGGGUCGUUUUUUCCUUAGAAGUGGCCUCUUGUGACUUUUCUGUCUUGGCAUAUAGGAUCAAGUUUUUAAAAAUGUGUGCCCUGACAAGCCUAAGGAAUGGUUCUUGCUUCCCUCCCUAUAAAGCAGAGACCGUCCUUUCGGAGUGCGAGAGGACAGUUCCAGGGUUUCAGUCAGCGCAGUGAAUGUAAUUAGACAUCU